UGGUGAUAGAGGUUUGAGCCCUUUUUUUCUGA
rnacentral:tRNA from 1 species